rnacentral:rRNA from 1 species
AUUGAACGCUGGCGGCAGGCCUAACACAUGCAAGUCGAACGAGUGGCGGACGGGUGAGUAAUGUCUGGGAAACUGCCUGAUGGAGGGGGAUAACUACUGGAAACGGUAGCUAAUAACGCAUACCAUCGGAUGUGCCCAGCUGGGAUGAGCUAGUAGGUGGGGUAACGGCUCACAUGGGCGACGAUCCCUAGCUGGUCUGAGAGGCUGACCAGCCACACUGGAACUGAGACACGGUCCAGACUCCUACGGGAGGCAGCAGUGGGGAAUAUUGCACAAUGGGCGCAAGCCGGAUGCAGCCAUGCCGCGUGUAUGAAGAAGGCCUUCGGGUUGUAAAGUACUUUCAGCGGGGAGGCGUUACCCGCAGAAGAAGCACCGGCUAACUCCGUGCCAGCAGCCGCGGUAAUUC